rnacentral:lncRNA from 1 species
CUAGAAGCAGCCCCUAUGCAGACAGACCAGCAGGACUGAAAGCUGGACAGACUCGAGCCAGAGAGCCAGGUGGAACAAUCUGGCCAGAAAAAGUCUGGCCACAAAGAGUCUGGCCACAGCCCCGCUUUCCUCAUCUCUGAAACGUCCACAUGGCUGCCCGCCCUGCCCAGCUCAAGGGAAUGUUGCAAGGCUCUCAUGGAAACCAUGCUUGUGAGUGUUUUGAGGACUGUCAUAACCCGUCCCAAGGUCAGAGGACAGUAGAAAACAAAAAUCUUGCUUUCAGAGGGUGCUUUCACCAGUCGGCAGCCUCUCCCCCCGGGCAAAGCCAGACAACUAAAACAGAAUGAACCAGCAGAGUGGAGUUGGGGUGAAAUGCUCCACUUCCAACCCAGAAAGGAGAAGCCAAUGUUCAUGUUUCCCCUUAGAGAAACAGGCGAUGUUUGAACAGGAACAACAACGCCAGAGGGUCAGUCCACACACAGAACACCCCAUCUCCAUGCCGAUGGAGGACUGACUGUCCUGCUGCUGAACUGCACCCCUGGGGCUCUCCAGGACACUCCACUGUUGGCCACACUCAGGAAAAUGAAGAAAAGCCUUCAAAAGGACCCUUCUGGCCAUUUAGGGAAUGCACCGACCUGCUAGCUCCUGCUUGCCUGUUCAGAGCUGCCUCCACUGGGGCAAGAAUUUGCAGCCAAGAAAAUCCCUGACAACCCCAGGGACAGAAGGAUGCUGGACCAGUCUCAGCAUUCAAGAGGAAGAGAAAAAUGAAAACAAAAAGCAAUCUGGAGUUGAAUGUCAGCCUUCCCCUCACUGGUUCUGGGUCCUUUGCAAGGCCAUAUUGUCCCCGGACCUCUCUUGCUUCACUGACCUUCCUCCCAGGAUUGCCAUGAGGAUUAAAUGGACUCAUAUAUGUGUUGUACCUACACAGUACCUGGAACAUAGUAAACAUCCAAUAAUGUUGGUUUCUUGCUACAAGAAAUUGUAAAAUAUGGCCACAAAUUCCUCCUAUCUUGGUAAGCACAGCCCUUGGCAAUUACUUAGCUGCUACUCCCAUCAAGAGUUGAGGUCUGUGUCCCUACCCCUUGAAUCUGGGCUAGCCUGGGACUUUCCUCAACCAGUAGAAUUUAACAGAAGUAACAGUGUGUGACCUCCAAGGCUAGCCCUUGCCACUUCCACUUUUGCCCUCUUGGAAUGUGGCCCAGAGACAGCCAUCUAAGGAAGCUGAUCUAGCCCACUGGAAGAGGAGUGGGCAGAUGGAGAAGUGAGGUCCCCCAACCAGCUGCCAG